UCUAGAACUCGAGAUACAGGUUAAACACUAAACAAUGUCUAGGCUGCAGGACAGAUUCAGACUUCUCCAUUGUUGCUAUAAUUUGGACUUGAAAACGGCCUUUUUAAAUCUUGGACUCCACAUGAAAGUUUUAGGAAUAUGUCUUAGCUUUCCAUC
rfam:Populus trichocarpa scaffold_3_contig_200, whole genome shotgun sequence.